rnacentral:lncRNA from 1 species
UGAAAAUAAAGGAGUGUGCUUCCACCAGGACACUGCUGGGGAAAGAGAAUCUACAGUGUGACGACUUCAUUUUGUUAUUCUAAUUGAAGAGUUGUCAUUUUGUAGGAUGAAGUGGUGGAUCCUCUGGUGGCUGCUUGUGUCAUGUUCUGGGGACAGCACAACAUCUCAAAAUAACAAGUGCAAAAGCCAAAACAACAACCAACGGUGUAAUGCGAAUUGUAAUAAGAAUUACAAAAAAAAACCAACGACUGAUGAAACCAAAUGUUGCAUAGAUUGUGUAGAAGACCUCUUAGAAAACAGCACUGACAUUAUCAGUACCGUGGAAAACAUGGAAAAGUUUCUGGAGGACACAGAGGUCUCAUCACAGCCGACCAAGAUGUCUAAUAGCAGGUUGAUGGUCCUGCUGCAUAAACCGGACAAGUUCAAUGGCCUUCAGCUUCACGCCAAUGGCGCAGAGAUAAUAUCAGGAGGGUCUGACAUCAAAAGUAAAGUGAAUGUUCAGCUGCCGAAGGAGCUGAAUCCUGGGCCAGAUGACACAAUCCUGUUCUGCAUGAUUAACUUAACAAACAAGGCUAUUUUUGGAACUUCGGUGACACUGUUUGAAGACAGAUUGAUUGGCCUGAGUGUGCGGAACAAGACGAUUUCAGGACUACGAGAGCAUGUCAACAUCACCAUAAACAGUAUCCCUGCCAUAAAUAAAACCAUGGAACUCUCAUGUCAGUUCUAUAAUUUUACAACCAACAAAUUUUACAAAGAUGGCUGCAUGACCCUGUGGGAUCAUAACCAGAGUCACAUCACCUGCUCCUGUAACCAUCUCACGUACUUUGGUGUGCUCAUGGUAGGACUGGUCCUUUGUUGUUAUACAGUAGAAAAAUGUAAAUACUGAUCUCUAGGUCAUGAUUCAAAUGUAAAGA